rnacentral:lncRNA from 1 species
AGGAAGAAAAAAAAAAAAAAAGAAUGUGGAAAAGUAUGAAUUCAACCCCAAAUCCAACGUCAUCACGCUCCGGCUGUCAAGUGUUGUAGGUACCAGUGGUGCAUCUCAGAGUUGUGGCAGCGCCAAGAGACAAAAGUGGAGGAGCAAUUAAUAAGUAACAAAAAAAAGGCAAUUUAAGAUAAUAAUGAUGAGAAAAAAAAAGAUGAGGAAAUAAAAACUAUGGACCCUCAGGAUUGAAAGAUUUGAGCCGAGAAAGGGGAAAAAUCUCAGCAUCCAGGAGCUUUUCUGCAGGGAGAUUUGAGGAUAAAAGCCACAGAUUUGGGUAACUGAGACUCUCAGAAGUGUUUUAGCCUUGAACCGUCGGAUUUUGAGGGCAAAAAAGGCAAAAAGCAAAGGGCGCUGGGUGUUGGCAGCAAAGGGAUCUUCGGCACAGAUCAGUGAGAGCACCAAAACUGCGGGAAUUUGCCCCAAAACCGAGGCAGCGUGGACUCCUGAGGCGAAAAGGCAGAGAGAAACACGGCAGCAAAACCAUCUCCCCCAUAAAAAAAAACAAAAAGCUACGUAUAGGAUAAGGGAGGAAAAAAAAAUAGGUAUUUGUGCUGUUUUUCACCCAAAUUGGAGAUGUGGGUGGAUUCGGGGCGAUGGCGUUAGGUUCACCCCGGGGUGGGUCGGCCCCAUUUCAGCCCUAAUUUUGCUUGUUUUCUACCCAUUUGAGAAUGAAAAACAAACGGUGGCAGGAAAUGCCCCCCCAAAAUGGCUGGAAAUGGCCCCAAAAUGGCCGAAAAUGGCCCCAAAAUG